UCAUUAGGUAGGGUUGUAUUUUUUUAGUAGUUUUUAGUAUGGUAAAGCUACCAGAUGUAAUGGUCAUGAGGCGAAAUAUUUCCAAAUUAAGAGAAAAUUAAUUUUCUCUCUAGAUUUGGAAAAUGCAAGGCCAUCGGAAAAGUACAUUGACCUUCUUUUAUAUGUUAUUUCGUGUACUUGUGUGUUGUGUAUUUGUUAUGUUAUUAACCGGUAUAUGUUUUUUUAUUAUAGUAUUUGUUUUUUUUUAUUUGUUAUUGCAAUUGAUUUGCACUGAGGACUUAGCGUAGCUUCAAUAUACUUAGAAUAUUUAAUAUUAAAGUGGCAGACGUUUAGUCAAGUUCAUUUUACGAACAAAUUUGAGUUCAGAUUGUGAAUAAUAUUAUUAAAGGAAAAUAAUAUCAAUCUUUUGAUUUUUGUGUUUCUGAAAUUAAACAUACAAUUUGGAAUAGGAAUAUUGAAAAUAUUUCAAGAAAAUUAUUAAACAAAUUUGUGAAGAGUAAAGAUAAACAGUGAUUGGACCAGAACUGAUUCUUGGAACCAUCUUAGAGUCAUCAACGGGUAGUGCAGAACCAAUUUUUAUAAAGUGGCAGCACAACCAAUAUAUUACAAACUGGGUGACCCUAGGUUGGAAAAAGCUUUCAUUGUGCAGAAGUAAAAGCUCUGUACAAGAAGUAAAAGCUCUCUCCAAGAAUUUGUAUUUAGCAAGAGUCUGAACCCAAGAAAAUAAGUCUUAACUGUGGAGGGAACGGAAAUCCCAGUUGGAAAUUUUAGAAGAAAAGGGAGGCAAACGUAUUGUUCUCAGUGGCUGUAGGGAUUAGGUUAAAGUUAGGAAUUACUUUUAAGAAAUCUUAGAAAAUUAUAUUUUAAACCUAUUAGAUUAAGUUU